GGGAGGGUGGGCAGCGCGGCCCGGCGGAUGGGGGGAGGUGAGGGGAGGCAGAGGCUGGGUGAGAGCUUAGGGAGUGAGGCUGUGAACGCGCUGUGUACGACGCGGGGGUGUGGAUGGACCGGUAUAGAUGGGUCGUGGGGGGAAUGGGGUGUGGGUGGGUGUGAGCCCGUGGGUGUGCUGUGUAGGAUGCAGGGCGUGGGUGGGACGGCGAGAGUGGAGGGUAAGGAUGGGGCAUCAGCACGGUCCUGUGGACAGGAUGUAAAGGAUAGGGGUGAUGGAUGAGCCAUUGGUGAUGUGGGGGUGGAUGGGCCACCAGGGACGUGGAUCCAUGGGGGAUGUGGGGGGUGGAUGGGCCACCAAGGACAUGGAUCCAUGGGGCAACGUGGGGGGUGGAUGGGCCACCAAGGACAUGGAUCCAGGCAGCUUAGGGUAUGGAUGGGUCAUCAACAUGGCCCCAUGGACAGGCUGAAAGGGAUAGGGGUGAUGGAUGAACCAUCAGUGAUGUGGGGGUGGAUGGCCACCAAGGACAUGGAUCCAUGGGGGACAUGGGGAGUGAGUGGGCCACCAAGGACGUGACCCCAUGGAUAGGCCAUACAGCCAUGAAUGCGGCCCCAUGGACAAGUCAUGUAGCAUGUGGGGAGUGAAUGGUCCACUGAGGGCACGACCUCACAGACAGACUGUGCAGGAAAUGGGGACUGAAUGGGCCACCAAGGACAUGGGACAUCAACAGUAAGACCACAUGGAUGGGACCUCAACAGUAGGACGCUAUGGAUGGGACAUCAACAGUAAGACCCCGUGGACAAGCCAUGCAGGAUAUAGGGCAUGGAUGAGUCACCAAGAACACGGUGAUAUGGAUGGCCGUGCAGGGCAUGGAUGGGCCAAUGAGGACAUGGACCCCACAAACACCGUGCAGGACAGCCUGACGUGGAGCUUCUCCAGCCUGUUGGAUCUCCCAGCUGUUCCUUUGGCUCACAUCUGUGCAAAGAAGCCGUUGUCAUUUUACUUAAGGAAAAAAAAAGACACAAAAACGUGGCUCAUUCAUUUCAAACGAGGGCAGCAGAGAACAUGAGGAAGGAUGUGAGAUGUGUGCUGGGGACGAGAGGAAACCCAGUCCUGCAUGCAUGGGGUGCAGGGGGAAAAGCUCACAACGGCUUCAGAGCGUUGUGCCCGUGGGUGCGGGGCUGCAGUUGCUCAGACAGGAAGAAUUCUCUACCUCAGACACCUGGCAGUGCAGGCUGUGCCUUCCAUCAGCAUGGAGCUCACAUUCCACAUCACCGGGGUUGUUCCCGUUGGUUCGUGUUUGUCUCCUUCUGGAUGCACACUCAGGAAGCACCUCGCUCUCCUAUGGUUAUCCCCUGCAGCCUCGAGCACACAAAGCUCCAACCACCAGCACUGAUCAAAACCACGUCAUUUUUUCAUCCACCUACUUCCCCUUUUCCCAUUAUCUUUUCCCCUCCUCUCAUCCCAACGAAGCACUCGUGCUGAAACACAGCUUCUUCACCCAGAAGAAAGGUCGGUGGGCGAACUGCACAGGAACUGAGGCAGAGCAUUCCCAAAUCUGCUCUUUUUCAGCACAGCAAAUGGGGAAAUGAGGAAGAGAAGCUGGUGGCAGCAAGGCUGCUGUGCUGGAAGCAGAGCCUGAACCCGGCAGCACAGCAACCAGAUGGCCCUCAGUGGCAUUUUAUUUAAGAACAAACUGCACAAGCUGGGGGGUAAAUGUGCAGGUGGGGAUGGAGAUACUGACCUGGAGAUACCAACCUGCUUAAUGCCCACUGUGCUGCAAGCACGGAGGAGCAGCAGUUGGGAAAUGGAUUUUCCCUGCAGGAAGAGGCUGCGGAAAGGAAGGUAUUGAUUCUCCUGGGUCUGCAUGAAAGGUUUGGGCAGAACCUCUGGAGCUCAAGGGGGAAAUCAUCCGGUGUUCCUUUGGGAACGCUGCUGAGGUGCAGAGGGUGAAGUGCAGAUGUGCUGCCGGCUGAGCACGCUGGGCUCCGGGACCAGCCGAGCAUCACACAUGUCGGGUUUCUGCUCAGCCGCUGCUGUGCCCUCUAGCGGAGCUCUGCUGCUCGUGACACGGAGCUCCUUCCCCGGCAGCUCUUUGUCUGACACCCAUUUCUUCCUACGUGCAAUGUGGCACCGCAUCGGUUCCUGCUGGAGAACAAUUAACUGCUCGAAAAGAGGCGAUGAGUGGAUAUUAAAAACUAGAAAGAUCACCCCUGGUAAGCAGGCGGUAAUUACUCAGAUUUUCACAGAAAUCGGCCUGUUUCUACUGGAGAAUUUCUGCAGAACGCUUGCUCUGGUGGAAGGAGAAAUGCCAGAAACGACAUUAGCAAGAGGCUGAUCGCAGGGUGAAUUACAGACCAAACCAUCAUUUGAAAUGCAGCAGAAAACACAGGCAGCUGAACCACCGCCAAAGGGUAAACAGAUCCAAAGUCCGUACGUUCCUUGCCGUGCCUGCCUGUGCAGGCAGCUGGCAUUUUGAAUGUGCUUCUCCCUGCUCAGUACCUCCCAACGCAACCCGCUGUGCAGAACAGCACUGCUGCUGCCGGGUCCUUGCUGAUGACGACUCUCUCUCCUAAGAGCUGCAGCUGGAGAACUCAGGGACACGGGGAGCAAUGGGACGUGGGGAUGGGUCCUCAUUCUGAGCCCUUCUGAAGGCUCCUCUCAGCAGCAGGAAGAGGAUCACCCGCCCACGGGCACGAGCCCAAACUAGGUCAGGACUGAAGGCGGCAGCAGCACGUUAUGCCUGUCGUGUCUAGACAUGCUGAACAGGUAAGAGCACAGGCUGACUGCUCAGGUCUGAUCUUACCAUCGUGAUGACAUAUGGGCUCAUCUAACUUCCACUUCCAGGGCGGUUGGAGUGAGAAUGGAUCAACAUCUCUGCGUGCAGCACAGGGCUGCGAUGCCAGCAUUUCACUGUGCCUUUACCUUUCAGAGACAGCCUGGAGUUCAGGAGCACGGCUCGAGCCAGCAAGGUGACAGCCAGCCAUCCCAGCACAGCCUUCAGUACCACCCUACUGGAAUGAGUUUUGUACAGGAAAAUAAUUGAUUGUCCCCAUACAGCUGAUUAUCAACGCUGCUGCAUUCAUGCUAAAGCAGUUGUUCUGUUAGGUAGUUCAAGCAUCCUGCUCAGUGAUAUCACUUAGCCACAUUUUACAAGUGUUCCACUUACAACAGUGUCACUCAGAAGCCUUCAACCCUAAAUGCAACACCCAAGCAGCACCAUCACUACAACCAAGAUAAAACCUUCCCUAAAGAGAUGCUGCUGAGCUUGGAAUCAGCACCUUGCUAAGAGUAGUUCAGAAACUACAGCAGCAUUAACAGGAGUGAGCAACAGCUGCAGCAGUCGGUGCCUGAGGAAACUGCACGGGAAACAAAGCAAAUGUGUGCAUAACCCUCCUUGGGGCAUUCAGACACAACACAAAACGUGGACAAAAGAGGUAACGCAGCAACACCAACAUAUUGUUCACUUGGUUUAUUUUGUACAUCUGCUUCAUAAAUUACUUGCAUGAGGCCAAGAUCAGCUGUGGAAGGGAUCAGAAGAGCACGAGGCAGGCUGUGUGUGAAGCACGAUGUUCACAACCAAGUGGUCACAACUGUCCGUGGCAGAAUUAGGGACACCACAGCCUCUUGUAGAAUCUGCACUGAGCAUUUCAAGUUCACCUCAAAGCAGGCUUCUCAGCAGAAGGCUCCAGAACACUCAAUCCAGCAGUACAUCUCCUACAGUAAACACAAAGCAGUCAUUAAGAGGCACUUCCUGCAAAGCAGAGCAGUCGACACUCCAGGCAGAUGUCAAUAAACCCCUAAUAAUACCACAAAGAAAUUUCUGCUAUAGAAGCCAACGCCAAAAUGGAGGCUUUCAGGUCUCUUUCAAAGGAACCAGAGGCCACCACAGACAUAUCCUCCUUCUCUACAGCAAUAGGCUUUCUUCAGGUACUUAUACAGCAAUACUCUUACUUGGAAACAAAGAACAUGAGCUGUGAACUCAGGAAUGCAUCCACAUUCCCACUGCUGGCUCAGGUAAUUUUUAAGCAACGAAAACCCAUACUGCAUGGCUUAGUUGCUCCUGCACGAUCCGAGGGCUUUUCCUCAGCCUUUUCCUCUCAGGGUCUUUAAAAUAAAGCAAAGAAUUCAUAAAUUUCCUAUCUGCAGCAAGGGAUAGAAUCAUAGAAUAGAAUGAAGUAGUCCUAAGCCUGCUUACCACCCAUGUGUGUAUUUAGAGGCCCAAGAGAAGGCACUGCCUGAUUGCUGCUUUAGCUCGAUGGACGGUCAGUCUUACAACUCAGAACAGCACAUUCCAUACGUCAUUUAAAAGGAAUGGGGAGAACACACUGAGAAAGCCAAUUUUCCAGUUAUUUCUGUAGCCAGCACUGAAAGCUUGGCUUAUUUUUGAUGACUACACAGAAGGGAAAGGCCUCUGAGUCCAUCUAACAACAAAGUCUUGACCUUUAAGCCGGCGUGGCU
rnacentral:lncRNA from 1 species